rnacentral:rRNA from 1 species
GACGAACGCUGGCGGCGUGCUUAACACAUGCAAGUCGAACGGAAAGGCCUCUUUCGGGUGGUACUCUCGUGGCGCACGGGUGUGUAACACAUGAGUAUCCUGUCCUUGUCAUUGUGAUAACUUUUCGAAACUGGGGCUAAUACCCGGUAGGAGCUCCCUCUGCAUGGUGGGGGGUUGAAAGUUUCGGCGGGUUGGGGUUGACUCGCGGGUUAUCAGCUUGUUGGUGGGGUGGUGGCUUACCAAGGCUUUGACGGGUAUCCGGGCUGAGAGGGUGACCGGGCAAAUUGGGGCUGGGGUAAGGGCCAAAAUCCUACGGGGAGCAGGAGUGGGGAAUUUUGCACAAUGGGUGGAAAGCUGAUGCAACAAACGCGUGGGGGGGAUGGCGGGCUUCGGGAUGUAAAACGGUUUCGCUCAUGAAGAAGCUGUGUGUGACGGUAGUGGGUAAAGAAGCACCGGCUAACUACGUG